rnacentral:rRNA from 1 species
CAGCCGCCGCGGGAAUACGUAGGUGGCAAGCGUUGUCCGGAAUUAUUGGGCGUAAAGGGCUCGCAGGCGGUUUCUUAAGUCUGAUGUGAAAGCCCCCGGCUCAACCGGGGAGGGUCAUUGGAAACUGGGAAACUUGAGUGCAGAAGAGGAGAGUGGGAUUCCACGUGUAGCGGUGAAAUGCGUAGAGAUGUGGAGGAACACCAGUGGCGAAGGCGACUCUCUGGUCUGUAACUGACGCUGAGGAGCGAAAGCGUGGGGAGCGAACAGGAUUAGAUACCCCUGUAGUCCCUGUCUCUUAUAC